ensembl:snRNA U1 U1 spliceosomal RNA
AUACUUGCUGGCAGGGGAGAUAUCAUCAAGAAGGUGGUAUUCUCUUGGUGAGACUUAUCCCUUGCACUACAGAAUUGCUAACCUCUACAAUUUUAACAAACAUGGUAAACACAACUGCAUUUCUUCUGUUAGCAGGAGACUGUGUUUGCACUUUCACUCA